rnacentral:rRNA from 1 species
UACGGAGGAUGCAGGCGUUAUCCGGAUUUAUUAGGUUUAAAGGGUGCGUAGGCGGCAACGUAAGUCAGGGGUGAAAUCUUGCAGCUCAACUGUAAGUUUGCCUUUGAUACUGCGUAGCUAGAGUACGAACGAGGUAGGCGGAAUGUGCAGUGUAGCGGUGAAAUGCUUAGAUAUUGCACAGAACACCGAUUGCGAAGGCAGCUUACUAGGCCGUAACUGACGCUGAUGCACGAAAGCGUGGGGAUCAAACAGG